CAACGUGAUGAACCCCUGAUAGGGACAGCUUACACUACGGUGUUUGAUGAGAACCAGGGCGAAUAUUUUAGUAGAUGCUUCGAUUAUCUGAAU
rfam:Nectria haematococca mpVI 77-13-4 chromosome 1 genomic scaffold NECHAsca_1_chr1_3_0, whole genome shotgun sequence.